GGUUCCAUAGUGUAAUGGUUAUCAUGUCUGCUUUACACACCAAAGGACCCAGGUUCAAACUCUAGUGGAACCG
rnacentral:tRNA from 1 species